AUGAACGCUAGCGGCAGGCCUAAUCCAUGCCAGUCGAACGAGAUUAAGAGGCUUGCUUCUUAUGAAAGUGGCGCACGGGUGCGUAACGCGUAUGCAACCUACCUUAAUCAGGGGGAUAGCCCGAAGAAAUUCGGAUUAAGACCGCAUAAAAACACAGGAUAGCAUUAUCCAAUGUUCAAAUAUUUAUAGGAUUAAGAUGGGCAUGCGUGUCAUUAGCUAGUUGGCGGGGUAACGGCCCACCAAGGCGACGAUGACUAGGGGAUCUGAGAGGAUGACCCCCCACACUGGUACUGAGACACGGACCAGACUCCUACGGGAGGCAGCAGUAAGGAAUAUUGGUCAAUGGAGGGAACUCUGAACCAGCCAUGCCGCGUGCAGGAAGACAGCCCUUUGGGUCGUAAACUGCUUUUAUUCGGGAAUAAACCUUUCUACGUGUAGGAAGCUGAAUGUACCGAAGGAAUAAGGAUCGGCUAACUCCGUG
rnacentral:rRNA from 1 species